rnacentral:rRNA from 1 species
GAUGAACGCUGGCGGCGUGCUUAACACAUGCAAGUCGAGCGAAGCACAUGAUUUGAAAUUUUCGGAUGGAAAGCCAUGUGACUGAGCGGCGGACGGGUGAGUAACGCGUGGGGAACCUGCCUCAUACAGGGGAAUAACAGUUAGAAAUGACUGCUAAUGCCGCAUAAGCGCACAGUGCCGCAUGGUACAGUGUGAAAAACUCCGGUGGUAUGAGAUGGCCCCGCGUCUGAUUAGGCAGUUGGCGGGGUAACGGCCCACCAAACCGACGAUCAGUAGCCGACCUGAGAGGGUGACCGGCCACAUUGGGACUGAGACACGGCCCAA